CAAUAGCGUAUAUUGAAGUUGUUGCGGUUAAAAAGCUCGUCGUUGGAUUUCUGUUGAGGUCGAACAGUGCCGCCCUAUGGGUGCGCAACUGGCUCGGCUUCGGCAUCUUCUUGGAGAGCGCAUCUGCACUUAACUGUGUGGAUCGUACUUCAAGUCAGUUACUUUGAGGAAUUGUGAGUGUUUCAAGCAGGCUUACGCCGUUGAAUCCGUUAGCAUGGAAUAAUAGAAUAGGACCUCGGUUCUAUUUUGUUGGUUUUGAGAGCUGGGGCAGCGAUUGAUAGGGACGGAUGGGGGCGUCCGAACUUUACUGUCAGAGGUGAAAUUCUUAGAUCGGUCAAAGGCGAACUACUGCGAACGCAUUCGCCAAGAAUGUUUUCUUUAAUCAAGAACGAAAGUUAGGGGAUCGAAGACGAUUAGAUACCAU
rnacentral:rRNA from 1 species